rnacentral:rRNA from 1 species
GAUGAACGCUGGCGGCGUGCCUAAUACAUGCAAGUCGAGCGAACAGACGAGUUGCUUGCUCCUCUGACGUUAGCGGCGGACGGAUCAGUAACAUAUGGUUCCCCUACCUCUAAGACUAGGGUCACUUCGGGAUACCGGUGCUAAUACCGGACAAUCUAUUCAACCGCAUGGUUCAAUAGUUAAAUACGGUUUUGCUGUCACUUCUCGAUGGAUCCGCGCCGCAUUAGCUAGUUGGUAAGGUAACGGCUUACCAAGGCAACGAUGCGUAGCAGACCUGCGAGGGUGAGCCGCCACACGGGAACUGAGACACGGACCAGACUCCUAAGGGAGGCAGCAGUAGGGAAUCUGGCGCAAGGGGCGAAUACCGGACGGUGCAACGCCGCGUGAGGGAUGAAGGUCUUGGGCGCGUAGAACUCUGUUAUGAGGGAAGAAGAAAUGUAUAAGGAACUAUGCACGUCGUGACGGUACCUGAAGAGAAAGCCACGGCUAACUACGUG